rnacentral:rRNA from 1 species
UACGGAAGGGGCAAGCGUUGUUCGGAAUCAUUGGGCGUAAAGGGCGCGCAGGUGGCUCUGUAUGUCUGCCGUGAAAGCAUACAGCUCAACUGUAUUGUGUCGGUAGAAACUGCAGGACUUGAGGCUGGGAGGGGCUGGUGGAAUUCCCUGUGUAGCGGUGAAAUGCGUAGAUAUCGCUUGGAACGCCAACGGUGAAAACAGGUUGCUGGGGGUGUGCUGACGCUGAGACACGAAAGCCAGGGGAGCGAACGGG